rnacentral:rRNA from 1 species
CCUACGGGCGGCAGCAGUGGGGAAUAUUGGACAAUGGGGGGAACCCUGAUCCAGCCAUGCCGCGUGUGUGAAGAUGGCCCUCGGGUUGUAAAGCACUUUCAGUGAGGAAGAACGCCUGGUGGUUAAUACCCAUCAGGAAAGACAUCACUCACAGAAGAAGCACCGGCUAACUCCGUGCCAGCAGCCGCGGUAAUACGGAGGGUGCGAGCGUUAAUCGGAAUUACUGGGCGUAAAGCGCGCGUAGGUGGCUUGAUAAGCCGGUUGUGAAAGCCCCGGGCUCAACCUGGGAACGGCAUCCGGAACUGUCAAGCUAGAGUGCAGGAGAGGAAGGUAGAAUUCCCGGUGUAGCGGUGAAAUGCGUAGAGAUCGGGAGGAAUACCAGUGGCGAAGGCGGCCUUCUGGACUGACACUGACACUGAGGUGCGAAAGCGUGGGUAGCAAACAGGAUUAGAUACCCUGGUAGUC